rnacentral:misc_RNA from 1 species
GUGAAUCAUCAAAUCUUUGAACGCAAAUUGCACUCUCUGGUAUUCCAUAUAGUAUGCCUGUUUUAGGUUCAUUUUAAAUAAAAAUCGGUGUGGUUGCUGCCCUUCGUGGUGACUCACCGGAUUUGGGUCUGCUUGCAUUCGGUUAAGUGACCUUAAAUUGUACAUGCUUUUUUCUAACGUAUUUAAAUGAUUUUACGUACGUUUGCGAUAGCGAAUACUGGAUGCUGUCACCCUCAUGAUCC